GUCAUAGUACUAUAGUGGUAGUAAAAUUUUCCAAAAAAAUAUAGUGAUAGUACGCAGCGUUGUGGCCGCCGCGACCGCGGUUCGAUUCCGCGCUAUGACA
rnacentral:tRNA from 1 species